AUCAAGAGAAAUUAUAGAUAACAUAUCGGUGCUCAUCGGCCAUUGGACAUAAACAUUACACUCAAGUGGUUUCGAAGGAAUCAAUGACAGUGGCUGUGUGUUCCCAAAUCUGGGUUUAAGGGGCUCUUUUCCCAGUUUAAAAUGAUAAACAUUCAACAUUGGCCAUGCUGUCAAUGAAGCAAGAUUUGUGCCGAGGUCAAAACAACUGUUGACUUGGAAGACCGCCGCGCCACCUUCCUGCACAACAAUGAGCAGAUACCUACAUGGGUGAUUGAACAAUGAACUGAGGUCCAUACUCCAGUCCAGUUGGUGGUGGUAAUGCACCUUAAAGUUGGUUGCCGACAUAUAAAGUCCAAAGAAAGAAGACUGAAAGAGCCUACACCGGACGACGCUGGGCCAAUUGUGCGCCGCCAUAUGGGACUCCCAAUCACGGCCGGAUGUGAUGCAGGCUGAAUUCGAAGCAGGGACACGUCUUGCACUGAGAUGCAGUGCCUUAGACCACUGGGAGAAACCCUGUGAGACCUGGUGACUGGGGAGCACUGCAGAGUGGAGGAGCACAAAACGGUGAACUACUGGACCAUAAUGUAACUUGGAACUGUUCCAAAUGCCCUCUUUCUACACAUUAUUGACACAUGUGUAUGGCAUCUUUGCAAUUGACCCUACAAUUCCAGUGAAUGGUGAGGAUGUGAAGAAGCACUUCUGCUUGGCACAGCAGCUUUGGGUUGUUCACCAAAGCGCCAAAGAGCAAAGCUCUCCUAUGAGCCUUGAAGAAAUGACCUGUUUGUGAAGAGAACCUGGACAGAUUGACUCUGAUCUGGGAGACAUGCCCUACUCUGGAUACGUUGCAGCAUUCUCUGCAAACCAACUGAAUAUUGAUGCCUUCAUGGAGGACAAGGAGCCGUGCUUUAAUGUCUCCCAAAUGGUCUGCUGAAAAGUUGCUGUAUUUCUAGAGCCCGUCUGCCAUCAACAACAUCCCUGCAGUCGUUGUACGAUCAGAAGACGCUCUAUGGAUACAGUUUGUUAGUCAGACAUGCUAUUUAGUGAGUCACAACUGUGGUGCUAUUUUGUCGGUUUACAGUUGAGGAAACUUUGCAGCCUCGUAUGCACUUGGCAGAUUGACACUGGAGGAGAAACCAUGUGAGCCAACAGAAUAUAAUGGAUUUGGAGGUGAAUACUUAAAAUACUUAUUUCAGGUGAUCAUGAAAUCACCCAUGAAAGGAAGUUUCCUCCGCUGUUUGGAGGGCAGUGUAGCCUGUGUCACCUAUGGCAGCUGUAGACAUCCUAGCGCCUGGACUAAAAUACAGUCAUUCUUGGCCCAGUCUUAAAAAAAAUUAAUCAGCCAAAUCAAAUAUUGUUUAUACUUGAAUCUAUAUUUUGUCAUUUACAGCACUGUUCACAUGAAUAAAUAGUUUAUUCAUUCUA